rnacentral:rRNA from 1 species
UACGUAGGGGGCAAGCGUUGUCCGGAUUUAUUGGGCGUAAAGAGCGUGUAGGCGGCUUGGUAGGUCCGCUGUGAAAACUCGAGGCUCAACCUCGAGAUGUCGGCGGAAACCACUUGGCUAGAGUCCGGAAGAGGAGAGUGGAAUUCCCGGUGUAGCGGUGAAAUGCGCAGAUAUCGGGAAGAACACCAAUGGCGAAGGCAGCUCGCUGGGACGUGACUGACGCUGAGACGCGAAAGCGUGGGGAGCAAACAGG